rnacentral:sRNA from 1 species
GCGGAGGAAAAGAAACCAACAGGGAUUGCCCCAGUAACGGCGAGUGAAGCGGCAACAGCUCAAAUUUGAAAUCUGGUCCCCCCGCGGGGCCCGAGUUGUAAUUUGAAGAGGAUGCUUCUGGCAAGGUGCCGUCCGAGUUCCCUGGAACGGGACGCCGCAGAGGGUGAGAGCCCCGUACGGUCGGACGCCGAGCCUCUGUGAAGCUCCUUCGACGAGUCGAGUAGUUUGGGAAUGCUGCUCAAAAUGGGAGGUAAACCCCUUCUAAAGCUAAAUACCGGCCAGAGACCGAUAGCGCACAAGUAGAGUGAUCGAAAGAUGAAAAGCACUUUGAAAAGAGAGUUAAAAAGCACGUGAAAUUGUUGAAAGGGAAGCGCUUGCGACCAGACUCGCGCCCGUCGGAUCAGCCGUCGCUCGUCGGCGGCGCACUCCGGCGGGCUCGGGCCAGCAUCAGUUCGCCUCGGGGGGAGAAAGGCGGCAGGAAUGUGGCUCUACGGAGUGUUAUAGCCUGCCGUACAAUACCCCCGGGCGGACUGAGGACCGCGCGUAUGCAAGGA